rnacentral:rRNA from 1 species
UACGUAGGGUGCAAGCGUUGUCCGGAAUUAUUGGGCGUAAAGAGCUUGUAGGCGGUUUGUCGCGUCUGCUGUGAAAACUCGGGGCUUAACCCCGGGCCUGCAGUGGGUACGGGCAGACUAGAGUGCGGUAGGGGAGACUGGAAUUCCUGGUGUAGCGGUGAAAUGCGCAGAUAUCAGGAGGAACACCGGUGGCGAAGGCGGAUCUCUGGGCCAUUACUGACGCUGAGGAGCGAAAGCGUGGGGAGCGAACAGG